UAUCUUUGUGUGGAAGUAAAAAACCCAAGGAUUAUACGUAUGCUCAACUUGGACAAAAUCGAAGAUGGUUUACACAGAAGCAGAUCCUACCUACCUACCUACCCUACCUACCUACCUACCUGACGACCUACUUGACAUUCCACUAAUACUGCAACCCAAUCCAGUACAACCCAGUGGAAGAAUGACCAGAAAUGCAAAAAUAUUUCAAGAAACUAUGGGAUAUCUUCUCGUCGUAGUCAACAUGAGACACAUUCUCUUGAAGGUUCUACCGAAAAGCAAAGAGGGGGUGAUCGGAAAGGAGCAAAAUGUUCAAGAAAACACUUAAUGACUAACUGUAAUAACUGAAAAUGAAGGUUUUUCUAAUAAAGGCAAGUGCCAUACCGUAUUAAUAUAUUUU
rnacentral:lncRNA from 1 species